GUCCUGAGGGAAAGGGGNNGCUUGCUGCUUUCACUAUUGGAUGAGCCUNNGUAAGAUUAGCUUGUUGGUGGGGUAAAGGCCUACCAAGGCGACGAUCUUUAGCUGGUCUGAGAGGACGAUCAGCNACAUUGGGACUGAGACACGGCCCAGACAUCUACGGAUGGCAGCAGUUAAGAAUAUUGGACAAUGGGGCAACCCUGAUCCAGGUAUACCGCGUGUGUGAAGAAGGCCCUAGGGUUGUAAAGCACUUUAAUCAGAGAAGAAGCAUUUUAAAUUAAUACCUUAAUAUGUUGACGUUACCUGAAGAAUAAGG
rnacentral:rRNA from 1 species